GAGAGUGUAGCUCAGUCGGUAGAGCAUUCGACUUUUAAUCGAAUGGUCCUGGGUUCAAGUCCCAGCACUCUCAC
rnacentral:tRNA from 1 species